rnacentral:rRNA from 1 species
UACGAAGGGGGCUAGCGUUGCUCGGAAUCACUGGGCGUAAAGCGCACGUAGGCGGCUUUCUAAGUCAGGGGGUGAAAUCCUGGAGCUCAACUCCAGAACUGCCUUUGAUACUGGAGAGCUUGAGUCCGGGGAGAGGUGAGUGGAACUCCGAGUGUAGAGGGUGAAAAUUCGUAGAUAUUCGGAAGAACACCAGUGGCGAAGGCGGCUCACUGGCCCGGUACUGACGCUGAUGUGCGAAAGCGUGG